AUACGUAGGGGGCGAGCGUUGUCCGGAAUGAUUGGGCGUAAAGGGCGCGUAGGCGGCCCGGUAAGUCUGGAGUGAAAGUCCUGUUUUUAAGAUGGGAAUUGCUUUGGAUACUGUCGGGCCUGAGUGCAGGAGAGGUAAGUGGAAUUCCCAGUGUAGCGGUGAAAUGCGUAGAGAUUGGGAGGAACACCAGUGGCGAAGGCGACUUCCUGGACUGUAACUGACGCUGAGGCGCGAAAGAGUGGGGAGCAAACAGGAUUAGAUACCCUGGUAGUCCACGCUGUAAACGAUGAUUACUAGGUGUGGGGGGACUGACCCCUGCCGUGCCGCAGUUAACACAAUAAGUAAUCCACCUGGGGAGUACGGCCGCAAGGUUGAAACUCAAAGGAAUUGACGGGG
rnacentral:rRNA from 1 species